CUCAAUUUUGUUCGGGAAAGGAAAAAUUGAAUGUAAUAAAAAAUGACUAUUGUAAUCUUAUUUAUUUGGGUUCCGAAAAGUUCCGAAAGUGGAGACCCCUCUUACCGUUAUCUACAUAUUGUUCUCUAAAUACUCACCAAGUUUCGUCCAAAAAGUCCAGGUACAUCCUGUGGCCUCUCCUUGUUAGAGAAAAAAAGAAAACGUUUAUUUGCGAAUGGCAUAACUGGACUCGUGGUUCGUAAAAAUGGAAGUUCACAUUAUUUACUCAACGAUAACCGCAGCGUGUGUGAAAUAAAAUUUCUCUGGGACAUAUAGGAUAACUUGAAUCUUAAUUAUUAUAGAAAACUGUCAAGAUUAAAUUAUAAAUUCAGCGUCGGCGAGCAUUAAUCCAGCGUCCAUGCGUUCAUUGUUGAACGGAUCGAAUGUACGUGACGGACUGCUCUCUGAUGUCACGGUUGAGAGCUCGCGGGGCAUAUUAAGUUACGAAAUAAACGGUAAAUCGUAGGGAGACCAGCCUAAAAUAGAGAGUGUCACAGCUAAGACGGUUCAAAUACCGGCAUUAGAACCGUCUUCCGGUUUGCCCAUCCAGCACACGGAUACAUACACGUGCGCGGAAAAUAUCGUGCGCAAAAUUUACAACAGGAAAAGACCAAGAAACGAAACGUCAAGCUUGCACAUCAAUGCAAGAUAACAAUUUCUAUUUUUUCAACUAUAGACGUGUUAAAUCGAUAUUGCCCCUUGCUUUGUCAAACAUGUUCUGCAUCAGAUUGUACUCUUUAGUCGCGAAAUUUUCGCGAUUCUUGGCGGGGAGGAAUUUCUCCUCGCUUGCUGAAAAUCAUCAUCGGACAAGCCUCGCCGGUAUUCAGGGGUAAGUGACACCGGGUGAACUCUCCCGCGUCUAUAUAUAAACGAAAAUAAACUAGAGUGACAUUUGAACUACACUCUCUCCUCCUGUCCCUCUCUAUCGCCCCUUCUGCACGACAGGCCAAAAGAGAAACGCAGGGAAGAAGGACGAAGGGGAAGACGGGCGUCGCGACGAUCGUCUGAGAAAAAUUGUGUCAGCUAAAUCAAGAAGCGUCUGCCCUCGCUUGCUAAGCUUUCUCUCCUUUUUAACAAUUAACCGCUAAUUUUCGUACAUCGCUGCGUGUGUAUCUUGAGUGUAUAUCCGGGAAGAGUUGAAUGUGACAUCCAAAAAUUUGAACGUUAAAAGAAAACGUGAACGAAUCACUGAAUGCACAAGAUGAAUUGUAAUUCUGACGUUGCACUGUCAACGUAACGUUCCAUCCUCAGUGGUGACGAUAUAAUAAUGACAUCGCGGAACUAUGCAAAUGGCUUUUCCGGCUGCAGUGUUCUUGUGUCGAGAAUAAUGUGUAAUGAUCGGAUAAACGACAGGAAAAAGCGACAAUCUGUUAAUUCUGUAGAUUUGAAAAGUUAUAUAAUCCGAAACAUAUUUGGCCUCCAUCAAAAUUCAGCCAUUUAGACGCAACAAUUAAUAGAAAAAUGUUUACAGUUGCGAUCGGAUAAAUUCUAUUUUAACUAUUAUCAUACUUUCAUGAAAAGUAUUAAAAUAAAUAUACAAACUUUCUCAAUUUCCGUAUAAAAUGAUUUUAUAAUGCGUAUAAUCUGUCAUUGAGAUAUUCGCGAGCGGUUCCUGAAUAAAAAUCGAUUCGCCACGCAACCACCAUCGCAAACGCGUGUUCGAUACUCAGAAUGAUUUGCCAUUGUCCGAAGGAGGUUUAAUUGCCCACUCGCCCAUAAAAACAUUCCUCGCGAUACCGUCGACAUUGUCGCCGCGCAGGAAAUAAGAGGUACGAGAGAGACUGGCAACGUGUACUCACUCACUCAUGCACGCACGCACGCACGCAGCGGAAGGCUACGCAUAUCGGGUGAUGAAGAAAGAAAGUACCUCGAGGAAAAAGGAAGUCCGCAUCGAAGAAUCUAAUCGCUUUCGGGUGCCUCGCCCUUCGUCCACGACGAAGUAAUUAAGGGCUUGAUUUGAUGUACGAUGACGUACACGUUGUAAGUCGCGCGAGCUUAUGGGGAGCCCAGUUUACCUGCACCGUGUCAUUAAUCUCCCAUACGACUCUAAUUAAAGGGAUCGUCUCCGCGGAUACACGUCACGCUGAUGACCAUUUAUGCGGCGCGAUCGCAUCUCGUGUGAGGCUGGUCCCGCAUGUUUUAUGUAUGUAAAAUUUUAAUACAAUUCGACGGGUACCCUCUCUUUCCGUCCUUUCUCCUUCUCUCUUGUGAGAAUUUUUUUAACGAGUCAUGCCCGCUAAAGUGAGCGUGGGUUUGCAUGGACCGACACUAAUGAGACAAUAAAGGAUACUAUAAUACUUUGGCUUCUGCAUUUCGAGCGAAAGCCAUCGCGACGAUUGCGUCAAGCACUCGUGGAGGAGGUUGUGCACUGUCUUUCCGGUUCUGACGCAUUGCGCGGCCAAAUUAUGUCAAGGUUGCACACAUAUACACAGUUAUGUGGGCGCAGCAACUUUGGACUCUUUGGAAGCCAGCAAAUUAAGUUUCUGAGGCGUCUUUGAUCGAUCGAGAGGUUGACAAAAAUUGACGUCCAGAAUCUUCCGCUUCGAUUCUUUUCUAAUUUUUUAUUUCUAAUCUUUUAUUCACGCCGACCCGAUGUAUGAAUAAAAAUGAAGCUGAAUUGAGCGUGCGCUCGCGCACGCAUCAACGCGACGCUGACGCUGCAGAACAUUCCAACGCCGUUGACUCACGACGAGGUUCAGCAAUAAUCCGCGAUGUCGAAAGUUUCGUGGAGCGGAUUUGAGCUGGAUGCCGAGAAAGGGAUGUUGCGAUCGAGGCGUAACGCCCGCACUUUGCCCGGCGUGUUUAUGGCAAACGAGCGAGGCCAAAAGACGACAUGAACUCAGACCGGAGUCGUUCAUUCGUACGACUCCCGUUUCUCCAUUUCUUGUGAGUGCGACGCGAAUGCUACGAUCACGCGCGCGUCGCGUUAAUAAGCGCAUUGCUACGCUCUACAUCACUGGUCAAAGUGAUACACGCAGAGUUCUCGUUACGGAUGUAUGACACAGGAGUAGGCGAGUGCAUGAGAUUGCGUGCAUCUGUGUCGUUUCGCAAAAUGCUGUGCCACGUAGGUACGUAUAUUAGCCCGAUGAGCGCACAAUAAAAUCGGCUGCAUUACGAGCGGAGGGGGCAGCAGGAGGGGAAAGAGGAGGAACAGCCAUGGGGGUAUCCUUGCCUCCCCCUGCCUGCGCGACGUCGAUGCGAGCACAAUGGGAACUCUGGUGGAGGAAAUAAACGCAAACAGGGUCACCGGGGUAACCCUCGGCGCGGUUAAUGGCACCACCGUUACACAAUAAAUAAGUGCGGGCCUACAUAAGAGAGUCGUUGUAGUUGUCUUUAAGAAUGUGUUACACAUCCCAUAGAAACGGCGAUUAGUUGUAAACUAAGAAUAAAAAUGCCAUAAACGUAA